UCUCCGUAGGUGAACCUGCGGAGGGAUCAUUACACAAUAUGAAGGCGGGCUGGACACCCUCCAGCCGGGCACUGCUCCACGGCGUGCGCGGCUGGAGCCGGCCACGCUGAAUUAUUCACCCGUGUCUUUUGCGUACUUCUUGUUUCCUGGGUGGGCUCGCCCGCCAUCAGGACCAACCAUAAACCUUUUUGUAAUAGCAAUCAGCGUCAGUAACAACGUAAUUAAUUACAACUUUCAACAACGGAUCUCUUGGUUCUGGCAUCGACGAAGAACGCAGCGAAAUGCGAUACGUAGUGUGAAUUGCAGAAUUCAGUGAAUCUUCGAAUCUUUGAACGCACAUUGCGCCCUUUGGUAUUCCAAAGGGCAUGCCUGUUCGAGCGUCAUUUGUACCCUCAAGCUUUGCUUGGUGUUGGGCGUCUUUUGUCUCCAGCUCGCUGGAGACUCGCCUUAAAGUCAUUGGCAGCCGGCCUACUGGUUUCGGAGCGCAGCACAAGUCGCGCUCUUGCCCAGCCAAGGUCAGCGUCCAGCAAGCCUUUUUUCAACCUUUGACCUCGGAUCAGGUAGGGAUACCCGCUGAACUUAAGCAUAUCA
rnacentral:rRNA from 1 species